AUCCAGCAAUGCCGCGUGUGUGAAGAAGGCCUUCGGGUUGUAAAGCACUUUUGUCCGGAAAGAAAUCCUCUUCGCUAAUACCGAGGGGGGAUGACGGUACCGGAAGAAUAAGCACCGGCUAACUACGUGCCAGCAGCCGCGGUAAUACGUAGGGUGCAAGCGUUAAUCGGAAUUACUGGGCGUAAAGCGUGCGCAGGCGGUUCGCUAAGACAGAUGUGAAAUCCCCGGGCUUAACCUGGGAACUGCAUUUGUGACUGGCGGGCUAGAGUAUGGCAGAGGGGGGUAGAAUUCCACGUGUAGCAGUGAAAUGCGUAGAGAUGUGGAGGAAUACCGAUGGCGAAGGCAGCCCCCUGGGCCAAUACUGACGCUCAUGCACGAAAGCGUGGGGAGCAAACAGGAUUAGAUACCCUG
rnacentral:rRNA from 1 species